UACAGAGGUCUCAAGCGUUGUUCGGAAUCACUGGGCGUAAAGGGUGCGCAGGCCGCGCGGGCAGUCAAAUGUGUAAUUCAGGGGCUCAACCCCUGGACUGCGCUUGAUACUUCCGUGCUAGAACCUUUGGAGAGGAGUCUGGAAUUCUCGGUGUAGCAGUGAAAUGCGUGGAUAUCGAGAAGAACACUAACGGCGUAAGCAAGACUCUGGACAAGUGUUGACGCUCAUGCACGAAGGCUAGGGUAGCGAACGGG
rnacentral:rRNA from 1 species